UUCAAAGCGAGGCCCUACAUAUUCGUGUGCUUCGGGGAAGCUUCGGGGAACAGAAAGGCUGGAGGUAUUCCCGAUAAGUGGCGACCUCUAACAGCAUAGGUUAAGACUAAUAAUGUUUUAUUUGAAGGCAAUUUCCUGUGCAAAUAUCCAAAAGGUACAUACUAGUUUUGGCCUCUGAUUUGAGGCGCCGGUGUGACGGAGGAAUAAGAGACAGGAGAUAAAUCAAAGACCAAAACCAGUGAUGGCUGAAUUUUCGAAAUGUUUUAUGUCAUGUAUCCAGUGAGGAAACCGUGACACCUGUGCAUAGAAAUGACAACACCCGCAAUUCAGGGUGUCUGUCAGCUUUGCUUUCUGGAAGAUGGCAGUUAUUUUCAUGGCAACAUUAUUACUCCCCACAAGGAACAAUAUGGAUUAGUGGGCAAGAUAUCCAGCACAGAACCAAGUGGCAGUGUGACAGAAUUUCACCGGUGCUGUAUGGGGGAUAACUCUGUAUUUUACCAAAUCCAAUUAAUUGAUCAUGGUGGAUUUGAUGAUGAUAGGAUAUUUCCCCAUGUUUUAAAGUCAAGUGGGGACAAUUGUACGUUAAGAGCUCCCGAUAUUAGGUUUGAGACAGAAGAACUGAUAGUCGGGAAAAAGGCAGAGGAUUUGAUUCGACAUUUUUUUAGUGAGACUUUUCUUGGAAAGAGUUGCUAUGUCUGCAUUGGCCCGAUUUUUAUAGCGUCUGGAGAAACAUUGGAAUGUACCAACCAGGAGUAUAUGCCAACGUAGAUGCUGGAAGUCUCUUUAAAAAAA